GACGAACGCUGGCGGCGUGCUUAACACAUGCAAGUCGAACGGAAAGGCCCUGCUUUUGUGGGGUGCUCGAGUGGCGAACGGGUGAGUAACACGUGAGUAACCUGCCCUUGACUUUGGGAUAACUUCAGGAAACUGGGGCUAAUACCGGAUAGGAGCUCCUGCUGCAUGGUGGGGGUUGGAAAGUUUCGGCGGUUGGGGAUGGACUCGCGGCUGAUCAGCUUGUUGGUGGGGUAGUGGCUUACCAAGGCUUUGACGGGUAGCCGGCCUGAGUGGGUGACCGGCCACAUUGGGACUGAGAUACGGCGCAGAGUCCUACGGGAGGCAGCAGUGGGGAAUAUUGCACAAUGGGCGGAAGCCUGAUGCAGCAACGCCGCGUGCGGGAUGACGGCCUUCGGGUUGUAAACCGCUUUCGCCUGUGACGAAGCGUGAGUGACGGUAAUGGGUAAAGAAGCACCGGCUAACUACGUG
rnacentral:rRNA from 1 species